AUGGUGCUUGUCCCAGUCACCAUUCUACAUGCCUUACAGCGCAGCAGCUCCAUGGUCUUCAGUCCUGCUCCCUCUCAGGAGUUGGUGGUCAGUAACAGCCCCGCUGAGAUUUUCUCUGGCCCUCCAAUGGCUCUGCAACACCUUCAGUUAAACAUUCAGGAUUCAAAUGUUGGCAUCAAUAUCAGCUUCGUUGCGGAUUCUGAAAUGCUCAGCUCAAUGCAUCUGAAUGAGCCUCUGUCAUAUGUGCCUAUUACAAAUUUCUUGUCUAGCAGGAUCAUGCCCACACUGGCCACCUUUGGGCCCUGGGCACAUGGUUAUGGUAUUAAGCCUGCAAGUCUGAAUAUUGAGUUAGUGGUGACCAACACUAAAGAUGGACGAUUAGAGGCUUCUGCUACUGUCACCUCCUUUGAUGCUGCAGGUACUUAUGGCACUUCCACGCACCUUUGGUCUCUUGCUGAUACUGAAGCUCCAAAUGUUCAGGCCAACACUGUCACUAUUACUGAGCUCAAUGAUGAUCUGGUGGCACCUUCCGAUGAUUUAGCGCUGACUGGUUCAGAUUUGGUGCCCGGGGCCUCCUCUGCUGCAGUGUCUAAGGGCAAGCGUGGUAAAAACAAAGCCCCAAUCUCUGUCAUGCAGGUUCGCCGCAGCAACCGCUCGAACAAAUACGACGGCUUCAAGGUGCCUCUCAUCUCUGAUAGCAAGGCCAAGACCUCCAAAGUUAAGCCAAGAGUGAUCCCAAAUAUGGCCUCUGCAGUUGUCAUAACUGAAUUAUCUGACGACCAUGAUGCUGAAGUGCCCCCACCACUGUCUAUCCAGGAGAUACAGCAGAUUGGAUCCACUCGGUGUGCCAUUCCCCCUGAAGAACUCACUGAAGAGGUGCUUCUCGCUGAUCAGGAGGGUGGCCCAUCCAAUGCUUAA
rnacentral:rRNA from 1 species